UACAGAGGGGGCAAGCGUUGUUCGGAAUUACUGGGCGUAAAGGGCGCGUAGGCGGCCCGCUAAGUCGAACGUGAAAUCCCCCGAGCUCAACUCGGGAACUGCGUCCGAUACUGGCGGGCUUGAAUCCGGGAGAGGGAUGCGGAAUUCCAGGUGUAGCGGUGAAAUGCGUAGAUAUCUGGAGGAACACCGGUGGCGAAGGCGGCAUCCUGGACCGGCAUUGACGCUGAGGCGCGAAAGCGUGGGGAGCAAACAGG
rnacentral:rRNA from 1 species